UACGGAGGGAGCUAGCGUUGUUCGGAUAUACUGGGCGUAAAGCGCGCGUAGGCGGCGCAGCAAGUCAGGGGUGAAAUCCCGGAGCUCAACUCCGGAACUGCCUUUGAAACUGCAGUGCUAGAAUCCUGGAGAGGCGAGUGGAAUUCCGAGUGUAGAGGUGAAAUUCGUAGAUAUUCGGAAGAACACCAGUGGCGAAGGCGACUCGCUGGACAGGUAUUGACGCUGAGGUGCGAAAGCGUGGGGAGCAAACAGG
rnacentral:rRNA from 1 species